UACGAAGGGGGCUAGCGUUGCUCGGAAUCACUGGGCGUAAAGGGCGCGUAGGCGGCCAUUCAAGUCGGGGGUGAAAGCCCAGGGCUCAACCCUGGAAUUGCCUUCGAUACUGUUUGGCUAGAGACCGGAAGAGGUUAGUGGAACUGCGAGUGUAGAGGUGAAAUUCGUAGAUAUUCGCAAGAACACCAGUGGCGAAGGCGGCUCACUGGCUCGAUACUGACGCUGAGGUGCGAAAGCGUGGGGAGCAAACAGG
rnacentral:rRNA from 1 species